GAUGAACGCUGGCGGCGUGCCUAAUACAUGCAAGUCGAGCGGACAGACCAGGAUCUUGCUCCUCUGACGUUAGCGGCGUGCGUAUGAGUAACACGUGCAUAACCUACCUAUAAGACUGGGAUAACUUCGGGAAACCGGUGCUAAUACCGGAUAAUAUAUUGAAGCGCAUGGUUCAAUAGUUAAAGACGGUUUUGCUGUCACUUAUGGAUAUAUCCGCGCUGGAUUAGCUAGUUGGUACGGUAACGUCUUACCAAGGCAACGGUGCGUAGCCGACCUGCGAGCGGGAGAGGCCACAGUGGAAGUGAGAGACGGUACAGAGUCCGACGGGAGGCACAAAUAGCGACGCGUACGAAAUGGGCGAAAGCCUGAAGGAGCAACGCCGCGUGAGUGAUGAAGGUCUUCGGAUCGGAAAACUCUGUUAUUAGGGAAGAACAAAUGCGUAAGGAGCGAUGCACGUCUUGACGGUACCUGCUCAGAAAGCACCGGCUAACUACGUG
rnacentral:rRNA from 1 species